AUUGAACGCUGGCGGCAGGCCUAACACAUGCAAGUCGAACGGUAACAGGAAGCAGCUUGCUGCUUCGCUGACGAGUGGCGGACGGGUGAGUAAUGUCUGGGAAGCUGCCUGAUGGAGGGGGAUAACUACUGGAAACGGUAGCUAAUACCGCAUAAUGUCGCAAGACCAAAGAGGGGGACCUUCGGGCCUCUUGCCAUCGGAUGUGCCCAGAUGGGAUUAGCUUGUUGGUGGGGUAACGGCUCACCAAGGCGACGAUCCCUAGCUGGUCUGAGAGGAUGACCAGCCACACUGGAACUGAGACACGGUCCAGACUCCUACGGGAGGCAGCAGUGGGGAAUAUUGCACAAUGGGCGCAAGCCUGAUGCAGCCAUGCCGCGUGUAUGAAGAAGGCCUUCGGGUUGUAAAGUACUUUCAGCGGGGAGGAAGGGAGUAAAGUUAAUACCUUUGCGCAUUGACGUUACCCGCAGAAGAAGCACCGGCUAACUCCGUG
rnacentral:rRNA from 1 species